rnacentral:rRNA from 1 species
UACGUAGGGGGCAAGCGUUGUCCGGAUUUACUGGGCGUAAAGAGCGUGUAGGCGGCCAAGCAGGUCCGUUGUGAAAACUGGAGGCUUAACCUCCAGACGUCGACGGAAACCGCGUGGCUAGAGUCCGGAAGAGGAGAGUGGAAUUCCUGGUGUAGCGGUGGAAUGCGCAGAUAUCAGGAAGAACACCAGUGGCGAAGGCAGCGCUCUGGAACGCUACUGACGCUGAGACGCGAAAGCGUGGGGAGCGAACAGG